rnacentral:SRP_RNA from 1 species
GCCAGGCGUGGUGGUGCAUGCCUGUAAUCCCAGCUACUUGGGAGGCUGAGGCAGGAGAAUCGUUUGAACCCAGGAGGUGGAGGUUGCAGUGAGCCAAGAUGGCGCCACUGCACUCCAGCCUGGGUGACAGAGUGAGACUUUGUCUCAA